GACGAACGCUGGCGGCGUGCUUUACACACGCAAGUCGAACGGAAAGGCCCUGCUUUUGUGGGGUGCUCGAGUGGCGAACGGGUGAGUAACACGUGAGUAACCUGCCCUUGACUUUGGGAUAACUUCAGGAAACUGGGGCUAAUACCGGAUAGGAGCUCCUGCUGCAUGGUGGGGGUUGGAAAGUUUCGGCGGUUGGGGAUGGACUCGCGGCUUAUCAGCUUGUUGGUGGGGUAGUGGCUUACCAAGGCUUUGACGGGUAGCCGGCCUGAGAGGGUGACCGGCCACAUUGGGACUGAGAUACGGCCCAGACUCCUACGGGAGGCAGCAGUGGGGAAUAUUGCACAAUGGGCGGAAGCCUGAUGCAGCAACGCCGCGUGCGGGAUGACGGCCUUCGGGUUGUAAACCGCUUUCGCCUGUGACGAAGCGUGAGUGACGGUAAUGGGUAAAGAAGCACCGGCUAACUACGUG
rnacentral:rRNA from 1 species